AUGAUGUGUAGAAAUAAUAAUUCAGUGAUCAUUCUCUCAGAAUAUGAAUCUGUUUGUUCCAGAGCAGCUGACGGUAGUGGAGCGGCUGAGCUAGACUUGGAAAUUAGGGGUGGUGAAGAAGCCAUGGUGGCAAUCUUGAGUCUAUCAUUGUAUAAUUUCGUAAAAGAAAAAAAAAAAAAAAAAAAAUGACUGUCCAUGAUCCUGCUAAGGAAAUGCAGCUUUGAGUCAGCACUGAGGGAGGUGUGUGUGUGCCCUACACUGUCCAGGGUUUGUGAAACCCUUUCAUUCUGGUACGAGAGUUGGGGGUAUAACUUUUAUACUUGAAUCUACCUACCAAGUUUACAUUUCUCAAUUCCUUUUUGUAAGGUGCUAUUUCUGUAUUUAAAUAACUUUUUUUUUCCCAGUGUAAAGCUGCUUUCUGCUUUAUUUUAUUGCACUGCUAGUUUUGUGUAGCUAUUUUAUUGCUGCUUACUGCUUUUUUUUUUUUUUUGUAUUACGUAGCUCUGCUCUUUCUUCUAAUAGCUAUAUUAUCUAUAUAAUUUUUUAUUUUAGUUUUUUCUUUUAGCAAAGUAUUAAGCUUUAUAAAAUAUCAAUAAAAAUUAAUUCAUUUUAACAAGAGGUGUUGGUUGUAUUUGUUGGUGAGCUUUCUGUAGAUACUGAUUUCAUGGUAAAACCAUUCACUAUUACAAAAUAGCCAACCAGACCUUCAUAAACCCAAGUCAGCUCUUUUUCCUGAGCCCUGCUGGUGGUUCCCAAAUGCCAAAACUUAGAGUAGCAGAAUCAUGUGGAAGCUUGGGCAGGUUGAGGGACUCUGCUGUUGAGGUUUUCAUUUCUAGCAGAGGUAGAAUCACUGUGGGUUUGAAGUUUCCAGAUGAUGUGAGGCUUAACCAAUAUAAGAAUCACCAGUGAGAUCACCUCCCUGGCUUCUCAUGAUCUGUCUUAGGUUAAAUGGUUCUUAGUCUAGCAAAUGCUAACCCAUUGUUCAAAGCCAGAUUCCAUGGUUACCCCUAGCUUUUAAAUGAACCUCCAAGAGACUUACUCUGACUUUUCCUUAGCUUGUAUUAUCUCCAGAGCCAACUGGAGAUUCCAUUGCUGUCGGUCUCCUCUGCUAGAUUGUCAGGCGCUGAGAAAAACAGCUUAGAAACUCCAACCUCAGACCCAGCCCUUAGGGCUCUGAAAGUGAAGUCGCUUCAGUCGUGUCCGACUCUGUGCGACCCCAUAGACGGCAGCCCACCAGGCUCCCCGUCCCUGGGAUUCUCCAGGCAAGAACACUGGAGUGGGUUGCCAUUUCCUUCUCCAAUGCUUGAAACUGAAAAGUGAAAGUGAAGUCACUCAGUCGUGCCCGACUCUUCGCGACCCCAUGGACUGCAGCCUACCAGGCUCCUCCAUCCAUGGGAUUUUCCAGGCAAGAGUACUGUGGGGUGCCAUUGCCUUCUCCAUAG
rnacentral:lncRNA from 1 species